rnacentral:rRNA from 1 species
ACGAACGCUGGCGGCAUGCCUAAUACAUGCAAGUCGAACGAGACCUUCGGGUCUAGUGGCGCACGGGUGCGUAACGCGUGGGAAUCUACCCUUGGGUUCGGAAUAACAGUUGGAAACGACUGCUAAUACCGGAUGAUGACGAAAGUCCAAAGAUUUAUCGCCCAGGGAUGAGCCCGCGUAGGAUUAGCUAGUUGGUGAGGUAAAGGCUCACCAAGGCUACGAUCCUUAGCUGGUCUGAGAGGAUGAUCAGCCACACUGGGACUGAGACACGGCCCAGACUCCUACGGGAGGCAGCAGUAGGGAAUAUUGGACAAUGGGGGCAACCCUGAUCCAGCAAUGCCGCGUGAGUGAUGAAGGCCUUAGGGUUGUAAAGCUCUUUUACCCGAGAUGAUAAUGACAGUAUCGGGAGAAUAAGCUCCGGCUAACUCCGU